GCCUGCAUGAAGUCGGAAUUGCUAGUAAUCGUAGGUCAGCAUACUACGGUGAAUACGUUCCCGGGCCUUGUACACACCGCCCGUCAAACCAUGAGAGUUGGCAACACCCGAAGUCGGUAGUCUAACCGCAAGGAGGACGCCGCCGAAGGUGGGGUCGAUGAUUAGGGUUAAGUCGUAACAAGGUAGC
rnacentral:rRNA from 1 species